CCUUACUUUAUUAAUCGACUUCUAAUGAUUGCUACCCGAUUACGUACAAACUAAUCUAUACAUGCAUUAUGCAUGUAUCUUGUGCGAAAUUAUACAAUACAUUACGCCAUUAAUACAUCGUUUGGAAUCAUUACCAAUGUCGUGUGUCUGUGCAGUAGUGAUCUCGUUCAUAGACCCUUCCAACAGCUUGGAGAAGAGCUGAGUCACGUGUAGAGAACAUGUUUAUUAUUACAGAGAUAAGACACGUUGUUCAGUUAAUAACUGCAUUCAGAUGAACGAAACUAUCGACAAUAUAAUACGACAGAUCUCAAAAUAAUUACAUGUAGCCCACAGGCCUGGGAUGACUAGUGGCCUCUAAAUGAUAUAACUAACCACUGGGAUGACUAGUGCCCUCUAAAUGAUAUAACUAACCACUGGGAUGACUAGUGCCCUCUAAAUGAUAUAACUAACCACUGGGAUGACUAGUGGCCUCUAAAUGAUAUAACUAACCACUGGGAUGACUAGUGCCCUCUAAAUGAUAUAACUAACCACUGGGAUGACUAGUGCCCUCUAAAUGAUAUAACUAACCACUGGGAUGACUAGUGCCCUCUAAAUGAUAUAACUAACCACUGGGAUGACUAGUGCCCUCUAAAUGAUAUAACUAACCACUGGGAUGACUAGUGCCCUCUAAAUGAUCUAACUAACCACUGGGAUGACUAGUGGCCUCUAAAUGAUAUACCUAACCACUGGGAUGACUAGUGGCCUCUAAAUGACAUGAAUAUUCACUGGGAUGACUAGUGGCCUCUAAAUUACAUGACUAUUUGCCUCUAAAUUACAUGACUAUUCACUGGGUUGACAAUUGGCCUCCAAAUGACAUGAAUAUUCACUGGGAUUGAUAUGGGCCGAUGAAACAAAUCUAUCAAAUCAAGUUUUAUUUGUCACAUGCCGUGAAAUGGCUUCCUCUCAAGGCCUUUACCAACAGUGCAGUUAAAGACAUGUUAGAGAACAUGUUUAAUUCAAGCUUUCAAACAAAAGGUCCACAUCAAACAUUUAAAAUAGAAUAUGCAGCUCGAGGGGAAAUGAUCUAGUCCAGAAGAAUGGGUCAAAGAUCAGAGAGGGGCAUUUAUUUUCUUUGCUGUCCAUUUGUUGUUGAUGUCUAUCAUGUCCUAGAGAGGGGAUUGGGACCAUGUCCUAGAGAGGGGCCAGUUUCUGUCCAGAGGAUUGGGACCAUGUCCUAGAGAGGGGCCAGUUUCUGUCCAGAGGAUUGGGACCAUGUCCUAGAGAGGGGCCAGUUUCUGUCCAGAGGAUUGGGACCAUGUCCUAGAGAGGGGCCAGUUUCUGUCCAGAGGAUAGGGACCAUGUCCUAGAGAGGGGCCAGUUUCUGUCCAGAGGAUUGGGACCAUGUCCUAGAGAGGGGCCAGUUUCUGUCCAGAAGAUUGGGACCAUGUCCUAGAGAGGGGCCAGUUUCUGUCCAGAGGAUUGGGACCAUGUCCUAGAGAGGGGCCAGUUUCUGUCCAGCGGAUUGGGACCAUGUCCUAGAGAGGGGCCAGUUUCUGUCCAGAGGAUUGGGACCAUGUCCUCGAGAGGGGCCAGUUUCUGUCCAGAUUCUGUCCACAGGACAGUAGUAUUCCAUAAGGGUGAAUCUCCAGGCCCGGAACACACAGGACUGACUGGGGUUCAGAAGUGAGUCCUUCUCUGCAGGGCAGUGUACGUUGUGUCAGCUCGGACCUCCCUGAGAGACAGAACACACCACAGACAGUAAGAGACCAGCCUUUCUGUUACAGAGCCUACUGGCUUCAUCCAAAUGGGGUUGUAAGCUAUAUGAAUGUAAUAAGUUGAUGGUACUAAUGUUAACCUGUGAGACAGUGUAGACAGAGGGGUACAAACCUGCCCUGUCUUCUCAAUGAGACAGUGUAGACAGAGGGGUACAAACCUGUCCUGUCUUCUCAAUGAGACAGUGUAGACAGAGGGGUACAUACCCGCCCUGUCUUCUCCUCCCCUCCAGGAUCCAGUCUUCUCCCUUCUUUGCAGACUUGCCCUUCAUGUUCUUAAAGCGAGAUCUUCACGAAGACAAACAGGAAAUGACCAACAGCAGACACAGGAAGGGAUCGAGACACCGCAGCUCUAAUCUUUAAUCCUGUAGUUGUUUUUACUCAACUUUAACUUCAAUCUGCUCUAUGUCUCGUGACAGAUUGUAAAGGACGUCACGCUGCUUGCUAAACGAGUACCACUUCCUCCUGAUUCGGCUCAUACUAAGGCUGGAACCCAGCAAACACUGCAAACACCCGUGACCACCCACCUGAAGCGGCUGACCCAUAAAGCUAGCUAUUCAGCAGGCGCAAGUGGAGACCCUACAGGCUGAGCAGUGAGUUUCCCAAAUCCCCAUCUGCUUGAUCAUGUGAUGUCAGAGGGAGGAAAAGCUGCCGGACAGUAACUGUAGUCAGGCAGGACGACAGCCCUCUAUGUCCAUCUGGGUCCUUCAACCUCAUCAGGGCAGGGAAAUGUGCCUGGCCUGACCUGAGGAAAAGACCUGCCCAAUGACAUCUACCCAACUAUGCUAGUACUUUUAUUAAUAGGUAUUUUCUUUAACAUAAUGAUGGUAAUUAAGCUUUACAACAUGUCUAAAGUUGACAAUCUUAUGAAUCACUUUACCUCCGUCCUGUGAAUUGGACUUGAUUUGGGACACUCCUGUCCACCGUCUCUGACCCCAACCCCUGAAAACACAAACCAUCAGCGUUCAGCACUCAAGACUGCAUAGUCUCUCGAAAUAAAACCCCCCUGUUCUUUUCCUCACCUUGGGUAGGCUUCCUGAAAACCCAACCAACAGACACAGGAGGAACCUGAGGAGAAGAAUGUCAGUUUGACAUUCAAGCACCAACAACAUUUACACGUGAGUAAUUUAGCAGACACUCUUAUCCAGAGAGACUUG
ensembl:lncRNA